CCGCAUUGUGCUCAUGAAAGCACACACACACAGUUCUCACACACAUGCGCACAGACUCCCACACACAGACUCACACACAGACUCACACACAGACUCACACAUUCCCCCCACACAGUACUCACACACAUGCCCAGAGACUCACACACAGACUCACACACAGACUCACACAUUCCCCCAUACACAGUUCUCACACACAUGAACACAGACUCACACACAGACUCACACGCACAGACUCACACUUUCCCCCCCACAAAAUACUCACACACAUGCCCAGAGACUCACACACAGAGUCACACAUGCCCAGAGACUCACACACAGACUCACACAUUCCCCCCCAGACAGUACUCACACACAUGCCCAGAGACUCACACACAGACUCACACACAGACUCACACAUUCCCCUACACACAGUACUCACACACAUGCCCAGAGACUCACACACAGACUCACACACAGAGUCACACAUUACCCCCC
rnacentral:lncRNA from 1 species